rnacentral:rRNA from 1 species
CGACCCUACUAAACCGGGGAUACUAACCACCCGAACCACCGUGAUCGUGUGCCCUUGUGGUGCACGGCGUGUGUGGGGAGCGUGGGACCUGAUCCGGGGAGGUAAACGUGUUAACA